ensembl:misc_RNA 7SK 7SK RNA
GGAUGUGAGGGCGAUCUGUCUGCUAAUCUGUCACCCAUUGAUCACCAGGGUUGAUUCGGCUGAUCUGGCUGCUGAGGAAUCACUGGCUCCCUCACUGCUCCAUGUGUGCAUCUUCCAAAGCUGCCUUCGUGCUUGGUCAUAGAGGAGGACAGUCUUCGGUCAAAGGUAUACGAGUAGCUGCACUCCUCAGCUAGAACCUCCAAACAAGCUCUCAAGAAUCUAUGCCAGGUCCUACACUUACUAUACAGCUUAAUACUUAAAUACAGACUAUUCCACAGAAAGAUAUUCAAAUUAGGUUUAAU